CAAGAUUAAUUUUCUUCUUUAGUUACGCUCACUUCCUAUAAAAAGACUGCAAAUAGGUUUUGUUCACACAUUUACUAUAUGACAAUGAAAUACUUUGCAAUCUUUUUAGUCCUCUCUUUGGUUGCCAUCGCUUAUGGCAUGGAUGUAGAUUCCGCUAAAAAUAUUCCAAAAGUUUCCCCAAUAGGGCGUAAAUGUCUGUUUACGUGGGAAUGCUACGAAAUUUGCAGAGCCAAGUGCCUGAGUCCUACAAUGGCUCUUUGCCAUAGGUUCUUAUGUUACUGUGGAUGGUAGUCGAAUGUUAUGUGAAUAAACAUUUCUUAAGAUA